rnacentral:tRNA from 1 species
GAGGGUAGAGCUCAGUGGUAGAAUGUGUGCUUAGCAUGCACAGGGUCCUGGGUUCAGUCCCCACUACCUCCA